GUGGUCAGGUCCGGGGCGGGGUCCGCGGCCCCGGCAUCUCACUUCCGCCGGACGCACGCGGGCAGAUGGAGGCGGCGCGGGGGAGGCCGUGCGGGAGGCUGAGCCGCCGGAGGCCGCGCUCGGGGGACGGGCCUCCCGGCGGCGGCCCCUGGUUUCUCCUGGCGGGCAGCGAGAGCCAACCCUGGGCCUUGCUGCUGCGCAUAGCGAGCUCGGAUCAGGCCCUGGACGGCGACCUGCUGCCCCCCCCUCCCGCUUUCCCCAGUCAGGAACCUGGGCCUGACCCCGAGCAUACCUUGCCUCCUGAGACCUUCACCGUUGGACCCAAGGCCUUUUCUUGGACACCCUUUCCGUCUGCCCUGGGGGGCCUGGGCUGCUUCUCCUGGGCUGGGUGUCACCCAGAGUCCCCCACUGGGUCCCUGAAAGGACACCCUGAGCCUGAUCCUUGCGGGACCCCCAGCGUCAAGGAGCAGCUGUCUGUGGAGGGGCCCCCAGCCCUGCAGAGCUGCCCAAUGUGCCAGAAGGAGUUCAGCCCCGGGUGAGUCCCCCACCCAUCCUGCAGGCCCAGGGACCCGAUCCCUUUGUGAAAAACCACACCUGCUGAGAGGCUGAGAGGAGGCCUGGGCCGCUAUCACCUUUCAAAGCCACAUGCCACAGAUGGAAGGCUGGCCCAGCUGGACGUGGACAGCCACCUCGCACAGUGCUUGGCAGAAAGCACGGAUGAUGUGGCAUGGUAAACCACCGGUGUCCAGGGCAGAGCUGCUGAAGGGGGGUCCUGGCCUGGCUGUCCUCACUGACCUUCCUCUCUGCUCCUGAACAUGCACAUUAAAACUGGGGUGUGGGCUCUCCCGCCUGGCGUGCUAAA